rnacentral:rRNA from 1 species
UACGUAGGGGGGCAAGCGUUGUUCGGAAUUAUUGGGCGUAAAGGGAGCGUAGGCGGUUUUGUAAGUCGUGUGUGAAAUCUUCGGGCUCAACCCGAAGUCUGCACACGAAACUGCAGGGCUUGAGUAUGGGAGAGGUGAGUGGAAUUCCUGGUGUAGCGGUGAAAUGCGUAGAUAUCAGGAGGAACACCUGUGGCGAAAGCGGCUCACUGGACCAUUACUGACGCUGAGGCUCGAAAGCUAGGGGAGCAAACAGG